CUUAUGGGACAGAAAGACUUACCAUUAAUAUCUAUAAAUGAAGGCUCUCAAGCCUCUCAGUGUCAUCAAACCACAACAGACACAAGGAUAAUUGGAAGAGAGGGGUGGGGAUGUAUUUAUUUUAUGGUUUCUGGAGUAUGAAGACAACUUCCUAAGACAUCAUUGUCACCUGUCAUGCUCAUGACAUGCAGUGGCUCAGCCAUUUAGCACCGCCUUCAGCCCAGGUCAUGAUCCUGGAGACC